rnacentral:rRNA from 1 species
UACAGAGGGUGCGAGCGUUGUUCGGAAUUACUGGGCGUAAAGCGCGCGCAGGCGGCUCUUUAAGUCUAUGGGUCAAAGCCCGGGGCUCAACCCCGCGGUCGCCCGGGAUACUGGAGAGCUAGGGACAUGUAGGGGCGAGCGGAAUUCCGGGUGUAGCGGUGAAUGCGCAGAUAUCAGGAGGAACACCGGUGGCGAAGGCGGUUCUCUGGGCAUUACCUGACGCUGAGGAGCGAAAGUGUGGGGAGCGAACAGG